rfam:Schistosoma rodhaini strain Burundi genome assembly, scaffold: SROB_scaffold0000035
AUCCAGCUGACGAGUUCAAAGUAGGGCAAAACGCGCUUCCUGGAU